rnacentral:rRNA from 1 species
AUUGAACGCUGGCGGCAGGCCUAACACAUGCAAGUCGAACGAGUGGCAGACGGGUGAGUAAUGUCUGGGAAACUGCCUGAUGGAGGGGGAUAACUACUGGAAACGGUAGCUAAUACCGCAUACCCUCAGACGUGCCCAGAUGGGAUUAGCUAGUUGGUGGGGUAAGGGCGCACCAAGGCGACGAUCCCUCGCUGGUCUGAGAGGAUGACCAGCCACACUGGAACGGAGACACGGUCCAGACUCCUACGGGAGGCAGCAGUGGGGAAUAUUGCACAAUGGGCGCAAGCCUGAUGCAGCCAUGCCGUGUGUAUGAAGAAGGCCUUCGGGUUGUAAAGUACUUUCAGCGGGGAGGCGUUACCCGCAGAAGAAGCACCGGCUAACUCCGUGCCAGCAGCCGCGGUAAUAC